AGCGAACGCUGGCGGCAGGCUUAACACAUGCAAGUCGAGCGGACCUUUCGGGGUCAGCGGCGGACGGGUGAGUAACGCGUGGGAACGUGCCUUCCGGUUCGGAAUAACCCUGGGAAACUAGGGCUAAUACCGGAUACGCCCUUAUGGGGAAAGGUUUACUGCCGGAAGAUCGGCCCGCGUCUGAUUAGCUAGUUGGUGGGGUAACGGCCUACCAAGGCGACGAUCAGUAGCUGGUCUGAGAGGAUGAUCAGCCACACUGGGACUGAGACACGGCCAAGACUCCUACGGGAGGCAGCAGUGGGGAAUAUUGGACAAUGGGCGCAAGCCUGAUCCAGCCAUGCCGCGUGAGUGAUGAAGGCCUUAGGGUUGUAAAGCUCUUUUAUCCGGGACGAUAAUGACGGUACCGGAGGAAUAAGCCCCGGCUAACUUCGUG
rnacentral:rRNA from 1 species